GUCAGGAUGGCUGAGUGGUCCAAGGCGCCAGACUUAAUGCGCUGGAGGCGUGGGUUCGAAUCCCACUUCUGACA